rnacentral:rRNA from 1 species
UACCAGCACCCCGAGUGGUCGGGACGAUUAUUGGGCCUAAAGCAUCCGUAGCCUGUUCUGCAAGUUCUCCGUUAAAUCCACCUGCUCAACAGAUGGGCUGCGGAGGAUACUACAGGGCUAGGAGGCGGGAGAGGCAAACGGUACCCAGUGGGUAGGGGUAAAAUCCACUGAUUCCACUGAAGACCACCAGUGGCGAAGGCGUUUGC